UUUUUUAAUUGCUCCGGUCUGAAUGAACAGAAUCCUCAAAAUCAAAGUGAAACUUACAGAGUAAAUCAGGAACUGUUUUGGCUACGAAGCCACUGAAGAAGUUGUUGAUGCAUUUUCCCAGUCCUUUUCCCCAUUUCGACUGCCACAACGACUUGGAGACAAGAAGCCUUCUACAGACUCGGAUCUAAAUGGAACACUUACUACCUCCUUGUGGACGAACAACACGAGGCUGAACAAAUGAUGGCUUCACAACUUCAAACCACCAGAAGAGUUCUGCCAUGAACACCAAAUAAUUACUCUACAUAAGAGAGUUUUGUCUCAAGUCCUGGGACCUGAACGAUUCCUUCUUCUGGACAUAUUCUAUGGUCCUGUUGAGCGGUGAAAGUGACCAGAACCUCCUUUAUGCUCCCUCCUUUAUGCUGUAUUAGCAUCUACCUAAGACUCAGAAACAUGUAGUGGCUUAUCCUCCAUUGUGCUAACAUUAGGGCAAUAGAUCAAUUUUGUACUAUAACUUUAAGUUUAGCUUUAUAUUGUAAAAGAAACCUAUAGCUAACAGUGUAUUUAAACACACACACACACACACACACACACACACACACACACACAGACAUAAAAUAAACAGAAAAAUAAAACUUUUUUCAAAAGCUCUUUUGACUAAUAUUACAGUUAAUUUCUAACCUAUGCCAUUUAUAUAUCUAGUUAUAUUUUUUUCCAAAAACUUAAAGCAAAACACCCAAAAAACCC